UAGUUAAGUCCAUAUAUUGUUAUCAAUGC
rnacentral:piRNA from 1 species